rnacentral:rRNA from 1 species
AUUGAACGCUGGCGGCAGGCAUAACACAUGCAAGUCGAACGAGUGGCGGACGGGUGAGUAAUGUCUGGGAAACUGCCUGAUGGAGGGGGAUAACUACUGGAAACGGUAGCUAAUACCCCAUACCAUCAGAUGUGCCCCGAUGGGACUAGCUAGUUGGUGGGGUAACGGCUCACCAAGGCGACGCUCCCUAGCUGGUCUGCGAGGAGGACCAGCGACACUGGAACGGAGACACGGUCCAGACGCCUACGGGAGGCAGCAGUGGGGAAUAUUGCACAAUGGGCGCAAGCCUGAUGCAGCCAUGCCGCGUGGAUGAAGAAGGCCUUCGGGUUGUAAAGUACUUUCAGCGGGGAGGCGUUACCCGCAGAAGAAGCACCGGCUAACUCCGUGCCAGCAGCCGCGGUAAUUC